rnacentral:rRNA from 1 species
AGCGAACGCUGGCGGCAGGCCUAACACAUGCAAGUCGAACGGACCCUUCGGGGUUAGUGGCGGACGGGUGAGUAACACGUGGGAACGUGCCUUUAGGUUCGGAAUAGCUCCUGGAAACGGGUGGUAAUGCCGAAUGUGCCCUUCGGGGGAAAGAUUUAUCGCCUUUAGAGCGGCCCGCGUCUGAUUAGCUAGUUGGUGAGGUAAUGGCUCACCAAGGCGACGAUCAGUAGCUGGUCUGAGAGGAUGAUCAGCCACAUUGGGACUGAGACACGGCCCAAACUCCUACGGGAGGCAGCAGUGGGGAAUCUUGCGCAAUGGGCGAAAGCCUGACGCAGCCAUGCCGCGUGAAUGAUGAAGGUCUUAGGAUUGUAAAAUUCUUUCACCGGGGACGAUAAUGACG